GCGGUGGAGCAUGUGGUUUAAUUCGAAGCAACGCGAAGAACCUUACCAGGUCUUGACAUCUUUGAAUGGUCUAGAGAUAGAUCAGGCCUUCGGGACAGAAGAGACAGGUGGUGCAUGGUUGUCGUCAGCUCGUGUCGUGAGAUGUUGGGUUAAGUCCCGCAACGAGCGCAACCCUUAUCAUUAGUUGCUAACAUUCAGUUGAGAACUCUAAUGAGACUGCCAGUGAUAAACUGGAGGAAGGUGGGAUGACGUCAAAUCAUCAUGCCCUUAUGACCUGGGCUACACACGUGCUACAAUGGCCGGUACAAAGAGUUGCGAAACUGUGAAGUUAAGCUAAUCUCAUAAAGCCGGUCUCAGUUCGGAUUGUAGUCUGCAACUCGACUACAUGAAGUCGGAAUCGCUAGUAAUCGCGAAUCAGAAUGUCGCGGUGAAUACGUUCUCGAGUCUU
rnacentral:rRNA from 1 species